UUACGGCCACAUCACGUUGAAACAUCAGUUCCCGUGCGAUCGCUGAAGUUAAGUAAUGUCAAGCCUGGUCAGUAACUAGACGGGUGACUGCUUUGGAAUAGCAAGUGUUGUAAG